rnacentral:rRNA from 1 species
ACGCGUGGGAAUAUGCCCAAAGGUACGGAAUAGCCUCUGGAAACGGAGAGUAAUACCGUAUGUGCCCUUCGGGGGAAAGAUUUAUCGCCUUUGGAUUAGCCCGCGUUGGAUUAGGUAGUUGGUGGGGUAAUGGCCUACCAAGCCUACGAUCCAUAGCUGGUUUGAGAGGAUGAUCAGCAACACUGGGACUGAGACACGGCCCAGACUCCUACGGGAGGCAGCAGUGGGGAAUCUUAGACAAUGGGGGAAACCCUGAUCUAGCCAUGCCGCGUGAGUGACGAAGGCCCUAGGGUCGUAAAGCUCUUUCGCCAGAGAUGAUAAUGACAGUAUCUGGUAAAGAAACCCCGGCUAACUCCGUGCCAGCAGCCGCGGUAAUACGGAGGGGGUUAGCGUUGUUCGGAAUUACUGGGCGUAAAGCGUACGUAGGCGGAUUAGUCAGUCAGAGGUGAAAUCCCAGGGCUCAACCCUGGAACUGCCUUUGAUACUGCUAGUCUUGAGUUCGAGAGAGGUGAGUGGAAUUCCAAGUGUAGAGGUGAAAUUCGUAGAUAUUUGGAGGAACACCAGUGGCGAAGGCGGCUCACUGGCUCGAUACUGACGCUGAGGUACGAAAGUGUGGGGAGCAAACAGGAUUAGAUACCCUGGGUAGUCCACACCGUAAACGAUGAAUGCCAGACGUCGGGGGGCAUGCCCUUCGGUGUCACACCUAACGGAUUAAGCAUUCCGCCUGGGGGAGUACGGUCGCAAGAUUAAAACUCA